UCGUGUUUGUGGGUGCCGUUGCUACUGCCGUUGUUCUUCGUUUUCGUCGUCGUUGUCGUCGUCGUCGUCAUCGUCGUCGUCGUCGUCGUCGUCGUCGUCGUCGUCGUCGAAAUCAACAUCAACAACAACGUAAACAUAAUUCAAGAUUAUCAACAUAAUAAACGUCUGCGUCGUCGUCGUCGUCGUCGUCGUCUUAAUAGUUUUCGUAAUAGUCUCCUCCUCGUAGACGUUUGUCGUUGUUGGGUCGAGUCGUCGUCGUCGUCGUCGUGGGAUCAGAGCCGGGAACGGUGACGGCUCUGAAAGUGUUUGUUAUGCGUCGGUGGUACAGCGGUGGUUGACGACGACGUCGACGUCGACGACGAGGAGGAGGACGAGAGAGGGCGGCAGAGGAGGAGCAGGAGGAGGAGGAGGUGCUGGUGCUGGAGGAGGCGGAAGAGGAAGAGAAGGAGCAGGAGGAGGAGGAAAAGGCGAAAACGAGCGGAAAGCGGACGGUUAUCGGGAGUGGAAGAAGAGAGAGUGGCCAGGUGUGUCGCGGCUUCACCGAGAAGGAGGAAGAGAACGUGCUGGUGGAGCUCGUGGUGGUGUGUCGGCGAAGAGGAAGAACGAAAGGAAGGGAGCCCGACGAAGACGAGGAAGAAGAAAAGGAAGGUAGUGCUGCUCGGAGGUUGCGCAGAGAUAUCGCCAAAUCUCUCUCUCUCUUUCUCCGGGUGGUCGUUUUGCGCACGAGAAGUAAGGGAGGAGGAGGAGGAAGAGGAGUAGAAGGAGGAGGAGAGCGGCCGGUGCGUGCGAAGAAGAGAAGAAGAGAAGAGAAGAGAAGAGAAGGGCCAAAGGAGAAGGUGCAAACGUGGUGUAUUUUUUCUGCGAAAGGGCUUAGAAAAAAAAAAGUGUUCCGCUCCGAGGGAAUCGACUACGUAGUCGAGUGUUGUAGUGCAUUUUUGUUAAAGUGGUGCCUCAGCACGAAGAGGGAAUCGCCAGCAGGGCAGAGGCUCGAACGCAUGUAGGAACAUGGCCGCAUCCAGCCCCUGCCUCCCUCUAGAGGUUGGCAGCAGCGCAAGAGGCGGCACAAAGGGAUCCUGGAUACGCGAGUCAGUACAGGAGAAGGCAGAGGUUGGCCGGACUGACUGGUCGCGGUGACUGGACUAGCUUUGGAGGGGAGGUAAUUGGUCCGGUGGAUAUGGCGCCAGGCCGGGAUCAGGGCGGAGGGGCGGGUGGAAGCGGGGGAGCCCAGCCCAAAUCUAAGGGCACGACCUCGCUGUUCAUCCUUUCGGAGGAUAAUUGUAUAAGGAAGCACACCCGCUUCAUCAUCGAGUGGCCGCCCUUCGAGUACGCCGUCCUGUUAACCAUCAUCGCCAAUUGCGUGGUCCUCGCCCUCGAGGAACACUUGCCCAAACAAGACAAGACCAUACUCGCACAGAAACUCGAGGCCACGGAGAUCUAUUUCCUCGGGAUUUUCUGCGUCGAGGCGAGCCUCAAGAUCCUCGCCCUUGGCUUUGUCCUCCACCGCGGCUCCUACCUUAGAAACAUCUGGAACAUCAUGGACUUCUUCGUCGUGGUGACCGGGUUCAUCACGGCGUUCUCGCAGGGCAUAGAACUGGAUAUGGAUCUGCGCACGUUGCGUGCGAUACGCGUGUUGCGACCGCUCAAACUUGUCUCCGGCAUACCGAGUCUUCAGGUGGUGUUGAAGUCCAUCAUAAAAGCAAUGGCGCCGCUUCUGCAGAUCGGAUUACUGGUUCUUUUCGCGAUCGUGAUAUUCGCCAUCAUCGGUCUUGAGUUUUAUUCGGGAACACUGCAUAAAACGUGUUACAGUAUAAAGGACAUCAGUGUGAUCGUGAAGGAAGGUGAGACUCCGGACCCGUGUAACACGGACGUUCAAUCGGAGGCACCGUUCGGUGCCCACGUGUGCAACGCGAGCACCUCAACGUGUUUGGAUCAUUGGGUGGGACCAAACUACGGCAUCACCAGUUUCGACAACAUCGGAUUCGCUAUGCUCACUGUCUUCCAGUGCAUCACUAUGGAGGGCUGGACUUCCAUAUUGUACUGGACAAACGACGCUCUUGGAAGCACGUACAACUGGAUUUACUUUAUACCAUUGAUCGUCCUUGGCUCCUUCUUCAUGCUGAACUUAGUUCUCGGUGUCCUGAGCGGAGAGUUUGCGAAGGAGAGAGAGAAGGUGGAGAACCGGCAAACCUUCCUGAAAUUGCGAAGACAACAGCAGCUCGAGCGCGAACUGAAUUGCUACCUCAAUUGGAUCUGCAAAGCAGAAGAGGUAAUUCUCGCCGAAGAGAGGACCACGGAAGAGGAAAAGAUGCACAUAUUAGAAGUGAGAAAAAGGGCCCAGGCGAAGAAGAAAAAAUUAAAGAAUCUUGGAAAGAGCAAAAGCACCGACACGGAGGAAGAAGACGCCGAGGAUGACCAGGACGAUGGGUUCUCGAGACCUUCCUAUUUCAAGUCGAGGGUGAAAAACAAAGGAACGUGUAUGCAAUUUUGGCGAGCCGAGAAGAGGUUCCGAUUCUGGAUACGUAAUUCCGUGAAAUCGCAGAAUUUCUAUUGGUUCGUCAUCGUCCUCGUGUUCUUUAACACCGUCUGCGUAGCCGUCGAGCAUUACGAUCAGCCACAGUGGCUUACCGAUUUUCUCUAUUACGCGGAGUUUGUGUUCCUUGCCCUGUUCAUGAUGGAAAUGUUCAUAAAGGUAUACGCGCUCGGUCCUCGCACAUAUUUCGAGUCGAGCUUCAAUCGCUUCGACUGCGUCGUCAUCUCGGGCUCGAUCUUCGAGGUGAUCUGGUCCGCGGUGAAGUCCGGCUCUUUCGGCCUCUCCGUCCUACGUGCCCUUAGACUCCUCAGAAUUUUUAAGGUCACCAAAUACUGGAAGAGCCUGCGGAACCUCGUAAUAUCGCUCCUCAGCUCGAUGCGUAGUAUCAUUUCCCUUCUAUUCCUGCUCUUCCUUUUCAUCCUCAUAUUCGCGCUGCUCGGAAUGCAGCUAUUCGGUGGGCAAUUCAACUUCGAUUCCGGCACGCCACCCACAAACUUCAAUACUUUUCCCAUCGCGCUGCUUACUGUCUUCCAAAUCCUUACCGGAGAAGACUGGAAUGAGGUGAUGUACUAUGGUAUCGAGUCACAAGGCGGUCACAGAAAAGGUAUGAUGUAUUCGCUCUAUUUCAUCGUGUUGGUGCUAUUCGGCAACUAUACUCUGCUGAACGUCUUCUUGGCUAUCGCCGUCGAUAAUUUGGCCAAUGCCCAAGAAUUGAGCGCCGCCGAGGAAGAGGAGCAGGAAGAAGACAAGGAGAAACAAAUGCAGGAAAUCGAUAAGGAAAUCGAGACAUUGCAAAAACCAAACGAUGGUACAGCAUCUAAGACAGAUAUCUGUCCUCCUAGUCCAAAUCAGAAUUUUAAAGACGGUAAAGGUGGAAAGCAGGCGUCCGAAGAGAAGAAGCAGGAUGAAGACGAUGACACGGGACCAAAACCAAUGCUGCCAUACUCCUCCAUGUUUAUACUAUCCCCUACGAAUCCCGUAAGAAGAGCCGCCCAUUGGGUCGUCAAUCUAAGGUACUUCGACUUCUUCAUCAUGGUGGUAAUAUCGUUGUCGAGUAUCGCGUUGGCCGCCGAGGAUCCUGUAUGGGAACAUUCGCCGAGGAACGAGAUCCUCAACUAUUUCGACUACGCGUUCACCGGUGUCUUCACCAUAGAGAUGAUCCUAAAGAUCAUCGAUCUUGGGGUCAUAUUACAUCCUGGCUCGUAUCUACGCGAGUUCUGGAACAUUAUGGACGCGGUGGUCGUAAUAUGCGCCGCGGUGUCGUUCGCAUUCGACAUGACCGGUAGUUCAGCGGGACAAAAUUUAUCGACGAUCAAGUCGUUGAGGGUGUUACGUGUGUUGAGACCGCUUAAAACGAUUAAAAGAGUACCAAAGCUCAAGGCGGUCUUCGACUGCGUCGUUAACAGUUUGAAAAAUGUCAUUAACAUUCUCAUAGUGUAUAUAUUAUUCCAAUUCAUCUUCGCUGUGAUCGCGGUGCAACUGUUUAACGGAAAAUUCUUUCACUGCAGCGACGAGAGCAAGUAUACGAAAAAGGACUGCCAGGGUCAAUACUUCGUCUACGAGGAAAAUGUAAUGCUGCCAGAACCCAAGAAAAGGGAGUGGACGUCUCAGUGUUUUCAUUACGACAACGUUAUGGCAGCUAUGCUUACGUUGUUCGCUGUACAAACCGGCGAGGGAUGGCCACAAAUCUUGCAGCACUCAAUGGCGGCCACUUACGAGGACCAGGGUCCCAUUCAAAACUUUCGCAUCGAAAUGUCCAUUUUCUAUAUCGUCUAUUUCAUCGUCUUUCCAUUUUUCUUCGUCAACAUCUUCGUGGCCUUGAUUAUCAUCACGUUUCAAGAACAGGGAGAAGCCGAGCUUCAGGACGGCGAGAUCGAUAAAAAUCAGAAAUCAUGUAUAGACUUUACAAUACAAGCUCGCCCAUUAGAGAGGUACAUGCCGAAGAAGCUGAACGGCGUAAAGUACAAAAUUUGGAGGAUAGUCGUAUCGACACCGUUCGAAUAUUUUAUCAUGAUACUCAUCGUACUAAAUACAUUACUACUAAUGAUGAAGUUCCAUCGGCAAAGCGAGGCGUACAAGAACACGCUGAAGUACAUGAACAUGUGCUUCACGGGGAUGUUCACCGUCGAGUGCAUACUGAAGAUCGCCGCUUUUGGCGUCAGGAACUUCUUCAAGGAUUCUUGGAACACGUUCGACUUUAUUACCGUGAUUGGCAGCAUCGUCGACGCACUUGUCAUCGAAUUCGGGGAGCGGUUUUCGAGUGUGCCAAGUGGUGGCCAGCUAACUGAAAAGAAGGAGAAUUUCAUCAACGUCGGCUUCCUCAGGCUAUUUCGUGCCGCCAGACUGAUCAAACUGCUACGACAAGGAUACACGAUACGAAUUUUACUCUGGACCUUCGUGCAAUCCUUCAAAGCCUUGCCUUACGUUUGUCUCCUCAUCGCGAUGCUCUUUUUCAUCUACGCCAUCAUCGGUAUGCAGGUAUUCGGUAACAUCGAGCUGGGUGCUGACAGUUCUAUUAACAAGCACAACAAUUUCCAAAGCUUCAUACAAGGUCUGAUGCUGCUUUUUCGGUGCGCAACAGGUGAAGCUUGGCCAAACAUCAUGUUGGCCUGUAUAAAGGGUCGACCAUGCGACGUGAAAGCAGGAAAACAGGAACCAGGUGGUUGCGGUUCUAACAUCGCUUAUGCCUACUUCGUCUCGUUCAUCUUUUUCUGCUCAUUUUUAAUGCUGAAUCUUUUCGUCGCCGUCAUCAUGGACAACUUUGAUUAUUUAACGAGAGACUCGUCGAUUCUCGGUGCACAUCAUCUAGACGAAUUUGUUAGAAUAUGGGCAGAAUACGAUCCCAAGGCCACCGGUAAGGUACUUUACAACGAGGUCUACGACAUGCUCAAAGUUAUGGAUCCACCGUUGGGGUUUGGUCAAAAGUGUCCCAACAGGCUAGCAUACAAGAAACUCAUCAGAAUGAACAUGCCCGUCGAUUCCGAUGGGAAGGUCAACUUUACCACUACACUUUUCGCACUGAUACGAGAGGAUCUUAGUAUUAAAAUGAGAUGCGCGAAUGAAAUGAGACAAGCGAACGAGGAACUUCGAGAUACUAUUCGAAGUAUUUGGCCUCUGCAAGCGAAAAAGAUGUUGGACCUUUUGAUACCUAGAGACGAAGAGGUAGGCAGAGGAAAGCUCACCGUCGGUAAGAUAUACGUCGCUCUCAUGAUAAUUGAAAAUUGGAAGACGACGAAGUUUGGUCGAGAAAAACCAUCCGGACAGAACGAUAACGAUCUUAUCGAUAACGAUAAUGCUGGGCAAAGUCCUGCAGCCCAGGCGCAAUCGACCCUCUACAACUGCCUGAUGGACAUGGCGGUGGUUAACCACACCGGAAAUAGCCACACAACCGGAAGUAGAGCGAACAGCCUCGAACCCGUGAUACGUCCCACAACGGAAACGAAGCAUGAUCAACACAAGGACUUCCGUGACGAGGAGGAAGGGACCUUAGGGGCCCUAGCAGCCGCCGAGCAAAGACGACAGCGUAGCAUCAGAAACAAAAAGGUGAACUGGAAGAUGUCCCACCAGUACGAUAUACUAGGCAGCAGCGGAGAGAGUAGCCAGGGAGGGGGUGGGUCUGGGGUUGUACUCGUAGUUAAUGGCGAGGAUCGCGCCCCCGAGCUAGAGCCAUUGCUGGCUGAGGUGCCCUCCCAGCAGGAUCACGACUACUACUACCAUCACCAUCACGACCAAUACUACGAUACCGACAAUGAUCAAUACUAUGACCAUCACCACCACCACCACCACCAUCACCAUCAUCAUCAUGAUCACCGACCACCCUCGUACUACCAACACCAGACCACCUACGCACCUCGCUCCUCGAUCCGUUACCACAAGGUCUCGGCUCGAUCCAAUUCCGCAGUGGACCUGCAGAAUGUCGUAGUUAGCGACUCACGUGCCGGUAGUAUCGAGAGUUUAACGACUUAUGGUGAGAGACUUCACCCCCAUCAUCCUUCGACGCAUCCACCGAGACAUCAUUCAAGAUCGCCAAGCUUAAGAAGACAUUCACCGGUCAUGCACAGAUCGCCAUCGCCAAGGCGACACAGGCACGACCAUCAUGGAUAUUAUCACGAAGGACCAGGCUUUAGCGACACGGUUAGCAACGUCGUCGAAAUUCAGAGGCAUCAUCAUCAUCCACAUUCUUUACAAUAUAAUCGACAUAAGAUGCGAGACUAUUACGACCACUGCGACUAUUACGACGAUGCAAAUCCAUCGAAAGUAGAACGUCCCCGAUGCCAUCUUUAGUCGUAAUCGCACGCUUUAUACACGGAACGAGCUUGAAAACAUUGACGUAUAAUUAUGUCCUUGGAGCGCAUCAACGAGUCCCGCGAGAUCACCUAGUCCAGUUCAUCGGAUAGAACGCGGUCAACAUUACG
rnacentral:misc_RNA from 1 species